rnacentral:lncRNA from 1 species
CACAAUCAUGGCUGAAGACAAACCAGGAGCAAAGAGAUGUCUUACGUGCCAGCAGGCAAGAGAAUUCACUAUGGCUUUUUACAAUGAAGACUUUUUUCAUUUUUGCAUUUCCAUCAUUUUGCAUGGUGUCUGUCAUUGUUCUUGCACUUUGCGGCCACUAUGGAGUACAAUAAGGGUUACCUGAACACGAGUACUGCAAAACAAUGACAGUCAAACUAAUAACUGAGAAGGCUACUAAGUGAAUACUAGGUGAAGAGCAUAGACAGUAUGGAUACACUGGACAAAGAGAAGAGUCACAUCCCUGGCAGGACAGAGCAGGAGGACAGCAUGAGAUUUUCAUCACGUACACAGAAUGGUGGGCAAUUUAAAACUUAUGAAUUAUUUCUGAAAUUUUCCAUUUACUGUGCUUGGACUAUGGUUGACUAUGGGUAACUGAUACUGUGGAAAGUAAAACCCUGCAGAGUGAAAACGUGGAUAAGGAAAGACAACUUUAAUACUUUUUAGUAUAUUAAAAGUAAAGAUUUUGUUAACAGUUUUCUAAAUCUUACAUCUGAAAAUGUCAAAUAACAAAAUACAAAUUUGUUAAUAAUCAGAAAAUGUGCCUUUAAAGCUAGUACGAAAGAGAAAAUGUGUUAAAGCUUACAUAAUUCAAGACGAUAAGAGAAAAACUAUAAUUCUGUGUUUUUAAAACUCAAACCAUGCAACUGAUAAACUCCUCAUAUUACUUCCAUUAUGUACAUUUAAUUGUAAAUUAUAUGGAUAAUACCACAUAUGUAGGAUUAUUAGAAGGGAAGACAAUGUGCCCCAGUAUCAAACUGUAGAAAUUAAUUUUAUUCUCCAACCCAAAAUCACUCAAUAAUUUUAAUACAAAUGCCCUAUGACUUUCAUAUUAUAGUCCACAAUAUGGAAAUUCAUAUGCUCUAAUAGUAAAUAAUACUUUAGUAAAUGUCCAUAAAUCACUCUAUUUUCUUCUUUGUAAUUUGUAUUUUUUAUUUAUUUAAUUUCUUUAGAGAUAGCGUAUUGCUCUGUAACCCAGGCUGGAGUGCAGUGGCAUGAUCCCACCUCACUGCAGCCUCAACCUCUGGGGCUCAAGCAAUCCUCCCACCUCAGCCUCCCCAGCAGCCGGGACCACAGAUGCACACCACCACAUGCAGUUAAUUUUUUAAUUUUUUGUAGAAUGAGGUCUCACCAUGUUACCCAGGCUAGUCUCAAACUCCCGGGCACUAGUGGUUCUCCUGCCUCGGCCUCCCAAGUGCUAGGAUUAUAGGUGUAAUUUUUAAAUAAGUGCCAUGUACAAUUUCACAGAGUGCCCUAGUUUUGUAACAGGCAGUUAGGCAUGAGUGGGGCAGGAGAGGGCUCUCCCCCAACCCACUAGAAAUGUCAGGUGAUGAUUCCAGAAUUAUUUCUUUGCCUCUCUUAAAAAUGAUAAUUCACCUACCAGGGAGAAAUCUCCUGAUGGUCCACACCUGUUAACAUUAAAAGUGUUAACUGAAGGCAGAUCUCAGGGAGAAACAGUUUCUGGGCAUGCUUGUUAAGAGACGAAAAUGGUGAAGUAUGAUAUUCCAGGUACACUCCACUGGAAAAAGGAAGAAAGCCUCAGAUGGGCAUAUGUAUAACUCCGUGAACACACUGUGUUUGCUCACUUUCCAAGGGUAAGGAGGGCUCUGCGCACGCGGGAAGCUCACUCUAAGCAAAGAAUUAUGGGAAAGAGGCAAGCUUAUUAAGUCCUAGGAUCAAGGUUAAAGGCUCUUUUUUUUUUUCUGUUAUCUUUUGUCCUUUUUUUCUCUCUUGGACCUUCAGGCGUCUGCUUGGGUCUCUUUCAAGCGAAUUUUCCUUUCCCUCCUGUUCUAAAGCCUUUUUAAAUAAACUUCCACUCCUGCUCUAGAACUUGCCUCUCUUUUUCUGCUUUAUGCCCUCAGUCAAGUUCUUUCUUCUGAGGAGGCAAGGACUGAAGUUGGGAGGGACACAUACGGAUACACUGUUGGUAACUUGGGAUAACUCAGAUCUCUGGUAACAGUUUCAAGGCAUUGGUAGAAUACUUUACAUUCAGAAAUCCAAAUAAUUUUUGUUUUAAGUCAUCAAAUUUGUGGCCCAGCAUAAUAAAAGAUACGGUUGUUUCCUCCCUUUCAGUUUGAGAAUUCCUACAGGAAACAUUUGUGUUAAAGAAAUAUGAUUAUCAAUGUUAAUGAUUACAUAAUUAUUAGUUAUUGUUUUUUCAUUGUGGAAAAUGAAUUUCAACUCAGAUUUACCAACAAAUAUUUACUUAUUCUAUUCUAAUGGCAUUUAGUUUAGUUUGUUUGUUUUUGGGGGUAGUGGUAACAUGAAAAAACUAAAGGGCUUCUGUGAUAGGAUUUUAAAAUAUUCACAUAUAUUUCUACUUCAAGCAAUAAUUACUUUCUCUGUUCACAUCAAAUACAGACUGGGUGAAACACAGUAAAGAGGACUUAUUUCCUGUUAAUAGAUAUUACUUGACAUUUAGCUUUAAUGCUGGAAAAUAAAAGCAGUUUAUAAUGUCCAGAAGAGCUUUUUCUUUUUUGCUUACAGAGCACUUAAGUGUCAUCUUA